rnacentral:tRNA from 1 species
ACAGAGCCUUAGUAGUAUAGCUAAUACACUGG